rnacentral:lncRNA from 1 species
AAUCAUUUUCCUUAGUGUGUUUAAAAUGAUGGAUGAUUUCAGCUUAACUGGAGUUUUUUGAUUCUCUGAUUUUAAUUGAAGUGUGACUAUAAGUCAGAUUUUAUAACUACUACCACAGCUGUCUCUCUAAUUUUGAAAUUACAUCUUUACUUUAAAGGCUUGGAGUAAAUACAUUAAAAAUCAUUUCCCAAGAUAUUUUAUUUUAUAUAGUUAGUGUGAUAUGGUUUAUUUUGUAUAAAUAAGAUUGGAUUUAACUUCAUAGUUUUGCAAACAUCAAUGUUAUUUGUAUAGAAAUAUACUUCAAAGACUAGUAGAAAGGUAUUAAUGGUUUUUGUG